GAGGAUCCGAGCGUUAUCCGGAUUUAUUGGGUUUAAAGGGAGCGUAGGUGGAUUGUUAAGUCAGUUGUGAAAGUUUGCGGCUCAACCGUAAAAUUGCAGUUGAAACUGGCAGUCUUGAGUACAGUAGAGGUGGGCGGAAUUCGUGGUGUAGCGGUGAAAUGCUUAGAUAUCACGAAGAACUCCGAUUGCGAAGGCAGCUCACUGGACUGUUGACUGACACUGAGGCUCGAAAGUGUGGGUAUCAAA
rnacentral:rRNA from 1 species